rnacentral:rRNA from 1 species
AUGCAACUAACAGGAGCACACCAGCAACGCACAACAUACAGAGCAAUCGUCCCUCUCACCUGCCCUCCCUGCACCAGCAGCGCACCAGACCAUCCUCGUCCUCGUCCAUCUCCCCCUGGGAGCCCGUGCCUACCCUCGUUUCUCUCCUUUCUCCCAGUUUUCUCUCUCCCUCUCCCUCGUCCUCCCUCCUUCUCUUCUAGCAGCACGCCAGAGCAACCAUGGUGCCGCCCCCGAGAACCCCUAACGCCUUGCAAGGUCCCGCCGCCACUAUCCUGGAUUCGGCCGUCGACGAAGUUCAAGGGGCGGCGCGCGGCGGGGCGGGGCGGGAGGUGGAGGCGGCAGGGGGUGCGGGGCGGGGCGGGGCAGGAGGUGGCGGUGUCGGGGACGGGCGGCGCACGGCGGUGUCGGGAGGGGUGCGGUGAGGCAGGGCGGGGCAGGAGAUACUCCUAUCGCUCAUUGUUCGUGUUGAGUUGCUCGACAAGAUCUCUUUGGAGCCUUGCCAUGCGUUGCGUGGCGGCGAUCAUCAUGCUACCGGCGAAGAAACUAGCGGGGCACCACCGCAGUCCGUGGUCCGACCUCCCGCACGAUCUGCUUACAACCAUCCUCGUCCGGCUCACCGCGACCUCCCCGGCCCUUCGCGACCGCGCCCGCUUCGGCAGCGUGUGCCAGACCUGGCGCGCCGCCGAGCGAGCCCACCCGCGCCCUCCCAUGGCAUGGCUCGUCGCCCCUGGGCACUACGUCAGCCUUCACGACGCCGCCAUCUAUCGCGUCCCGCUGCCUGAGGACGCCGCCGCUGCCACCUGCCUUGGCUCCUUCGGCGACUGGCUCGCCCUCGUGCCGCCGGUGUCAGGGCGCCCCUUCUUGCUCAACGCUUUCACCAAGGAGCGGAUCAAGCUGCCGCGGCGGACCAAAGAGCCGAUGGUUAAGUUUGUCAUGUCUUCCGCGCCGGACGCCCAGGGCUGCACGGUGGCUGCCAUUGUUGAGAUUGGAGACGGCGCGUAUAUACCGAGAUCUAAGAUCGUCGUCUGCCACCUGAGGCGGGGACGACUGCAAGGGCGCUCCUGGGAGAUCUUGACUAAGGCGUUCAGGCUCCAAGAUAUCAUCUUCUUCGAGGGGAAACUCCAUGCCCUUGACAUCGAAGCCCGCCUCCACGUCUUCCAUGAAGAAGACCUCCAACAGCGCCCUGAUCAGCGGUGGAGCAUGCCGUCUGCGAAGCAGCGAUUCCACGACGUCAAGCUGUACCUGGUUGUCCUCAAUGGGAGCCUGCACAUGGUCGGCAGGGGCUUAGGGACGACCCGGUGGACGACAUUCACCAACAAUAUAGGGAUCUUCGCGCUCGUUGGGGAGAUGGCGAAGCCGCCGGCGCCGGUCAAGGACUUUGACGGCCACGCGAUCUUCGUCGGCGACGCCUGUUGCGACGCUUUCGUAGUUGAGGCAGCUGCUUUAGGCCGCAUGAUAAGAGAGAACCAGAUUUGUUUCGUCGACGACGAGAAGAACAUGCGACGGCCUUUCCGGCUGCUGCAAUCCUACGACGUGCGCAAUGGCUGCCUCCGCGCAUAUGGACCCAACACCGCCGCGGUGGGGACCUGGCGGUGCGUCACAGCACAGCGCUUCCCGCAGAGCAGCGCCAUUGGACCACCGCCGCUGGCGUCUCUAUCGGAGGCGGAGCUGCUGUUGUGGAAUGUGACCAACUGCCUAGGAGCAUGGGACCGGCCCUUAUAUACAACGCGCCAUCAGGAUGAUGGCGCAGGCGUCGCCGUGACAGUGGAGAUUGAGGUGCCCAAGACAACAAGAAUAAUGGAAGGGGAAGAGCCCCUCCUGGAGUGGAGUUUCACGCAGCACCGGGCGUCAGCCAAGAAAGCGAAGCAGGCGGCGGCGCACGAGGCCGUCACGUUCCUGCGGAGUCGGUUUCGCAGCAUCCUGGACGACAGCCCCUGGAGCUCCGUCCCUCACUACCAUAGCCACGUCGACGAGGAGGAAGAAGCAGUCCAAGAAGACGACGCCGAAGGCGGCAGUUUGUUUGGGUAUAGACAUUGUCUUCAUGUGCUGGAAAAGAUGACACCAAACAAAUCCUUCAGUUUGAGUACAAGACGUGCAAGGGCACCUAAAAAAUUAACAGAUAAUGGACCAAUCCAUCACAAGCACAGGGAGGAGCUGAAAUAUUUUACCGGUGAUAUUUCAAGAUUGCCGACCGCCGUGGUCAAGCCGUCAUUCAGGAGUCGCGUCUUCAAGUGCCCGCGCUCUCCGCCUGAUUCAGUCUGCAUGCCACCUGCUCCUUGCCGCCUCAACCUGAUGGUCGGCGGGAGCUCCGACCAUGCACCGCCAAGCAGUGCGGUGCACCCACAUCAGGGACCUGCGGAGGGUGUCAAUCCUACAGUCAGUGUUGCCGAUGCCUCGUCCCGUUGCCCGUGGCUUCGUCCGGCGACGCGUCCGCUCGUACCGUCGAUCGAUAGAGAGAGAUGA